rnacentral:rRNA from 1 species
ACUGAAACACGGUCCAUACACCUACGGGUGGCAGCAGUAGGGAAUAUUGGGAAUGGGCGCAAGCCUGACCCAGCAACGCCGCGUGAGUGAUGAAGGCCUUCGGGUUGUAAAACUCUUUUUACCGGGAAGAGGAAGGACGGUACCGGUAGAAUAAGUCUCGGCUAACUACGUGCCAGCAGCCGCGGUAACACGUAGGAGACAAGCGUUAUCCGGAUUUACUGGGUGUAAAGCGCGUGCAGGCGGUCUAGUAAGUUGGAUGUGAAAGCUCCUGGCUUAACUGGGAGAGGUCGCUCAAGACUGCUGGACUAGAGGGUGACAGAGGGGAGUGGAAUUCCGAGUGUAGCGGUAAAAUGCAUAGAUAUUCGGAAGAACACCAGUGGCGAAGGCGGCUCUCUGGGUCACAACUGACGCUCAGACGCGAAAGCUAGGGUAGCAAACGGGAUUAGAGACCCCGGUAGUCCUAGCCGUAAACGAUGUGAACUUGGCGUUGGUGGGUUCAAAUCCAUCAGUGCCGCAGCAAACGCGAUAAGUUCACCACCUGGGGACUACGGCCGCAAGGUUAAAACUCAAAGGAAUUGACGG